AGGUCUCACAGGGAUGAAGAACAUUGGGAACUCCUGUUACAUGAAUGCUGCACUGCAGGCCCUCUCCAAUUGUCCUCCUUUGACUCAGUUUUUCCUGGAUUGCAGUGGGCUGGUCCGUACGGAUAAGAAGCCGGUGUUGUGUAAAAGCUAUCAGAAGCUUAUCUCUGAGCUCUGGCACAAGAAACGGCCAAGUUAUGUUGUGCCCACUAGUCUGUUUCAUG